UACGUAGGGGGCAAGCGUUGUCCGGAAUUAUUGGGCGUAAAGAGCGCGUAGGCGGUCCGGUAAGUCGGUUGUGAAAGUCGGGGGCUCAACCCUCGGAUGCCGAUCGAUACUGUCGGGCUAGAGUCCGGAAGAGGCGAGUGGAAUUCCUGGUGUAGCGGUGAAAUGCGCAGAUAUCAGGAGGAACACCAAUUGCGAAGGCAGCUCGCUGGGACGUAACUGACGCUGAGACGCGAAAGCGUGGGGAGCAAACAGG
rnacentral:rRNA from 1 species